UACGUAGGGUGCGAGCGUUGUCCGGAAUUAUUGGGCGUAAAGAGCUCGUAGGCGGUUUGUCGCGUCUGCUGUGAAAACUCGGGGCUUAACUCCGGGCCUGCAGUGGGUACGGGCAGACUAGAGUGCGGUAGGGGAGACUGGAAUUCCGGGUGGAGCGGUGAAAUGCGUAGAGAUCCGGAGGAACACCGACGGCGUAGGCAGCGCCCUGGCUGUGAAUAAAGCUGACACUGAGGCACGAAAGCUGGGGGAGCAAACAGG
rnacentral:rRNA from 1 species